rnacentral:rRNA from 1 species
CUUGAAAAAAUAUAAGAGGUCCAGCCUGCCCAGUGACCUAGUUCAACGGCCGCGGUAUCCUAACCGUGCGAAGGUAGCGUAAUCACUUGUUCUUUAAAUGAGGACUAGUAUGAAUGGCAUCACGAGGGUUAAACUGUCUCCUUUUUCUAAUCAGUGAAACUAAUCUCCCCGUGAAGAAGCGGGGAUUAUUUUAUAAGACGAGAAGACCCUAUGGAGCUUAAAACAAACCUACAAUUGCUUUAAUAUGCUGCCCUCCCGAGGACUCACAUAAAUUAUAGCAUAACUGAUAAUUAGUUUUCGAUUGGGGUGAUCAUGGAGAAAAAACCAACCUCCACGACGACAAGGGGAUACCCCUGAGCCAAAAGCCACAGCUUUCAGCACUAAAAAAUUAACGCACCUUGACCCAAUUAUUUGAGCAACGAAC